UGGACAGAUUACUGUAUUCGACUGUAUUCACGGCAUGAAACAUGGGGGGAUUACACUAUUUUUAAACGGAAAGUGUAUCAGUUAAUAUAAUAGACUCCU
rnacentral:pre_miRNA from 1 species